rnacentral:rRNA from 1 species
CAGAUGAACGCUAGCUACAGGCUUACACAUGCAAGUCGAGGGGCAGCAUGGUCUUAGCUUGCUAAGGCCGAUGGCGACCGGCGCACGGGUGAGUAACACGUAUCCAACCUGCCGUCUACUCUUGGACAGCCUUCUGAAAGGAAGAUUAAUACAAGAUGGCAUCAUGAGUCCGCAUGUUCACAUGAUUAAAGGUAUUCCGGUAGACGAUGGGGAUGCGUUCCAUUAGAUAGUAGGCGGGGUAACGGCCCACCUAGUCUUCGAUGGAUAGGGGUUCUGAGAGGAAGGUCCCCCACAUUGGAACUGAGACACGGUCCAAACUCCUACGGGAGGCAGCAGUGAGGAAUAUUGGUCAAUGGGCGAGAGCCUGAACCAGCCAAGUAGCGUGAAGGAUGACUGCCCUAUGGGUUGUAAACUUCUUUUAUAAAGGAAUAAAGUCGGGUAUGGAUACCCGUUUGCAUGUACUUUAUGAAUAAGGAUCGGCUAACUCCGUGCCAGCAGCCGCGGUAAUACGGAGGAUCCGAGCGUUAUCCGGAUUUAUUGGGUUUAAAGGGAGCGUAGAUGGAUGUUUAAGUCAGUUGUGAAAGUUUGCGGCUCAACCGUAAAAUUGCAGUUGAUACUGGAUAUCUUGAGUGCAGUUGAGGCAGGCGGAAUUCGUGGUGUAGCGGUGAAAUGCUUAGAUAUCACGAAGAACUCCGAUUGCGAAGGCAGCCUGCUAAGCUGCAACUGACAUUGAGGCUCGAAAGUGUGGGUAUCAACAGGAUA